AAGUCGUAACAAGGUUUCCGUAGGUGAACCUGCGGAAGGAUCAUUAUUGAGAUGAGAGUGUCCAGCUUGCUGGCUCUCCCACCCUCUCCCCUCUUGUGAACAUUUAUUGUUUUAGUUACAUACAAAAUAAAAACUUUCAACAACGGAUCUCUUGGCUCCG
rnacentral:misc_RNA from 1 species